UUUGGCAAAUAAAAAAGUAACUUUUAUGCUACACCGAAUUUCAUGUGUACACAACAACUCCGCUUAUUAUCUGAUGCCAUU